rnacentral:rRNA from 1 species
AUUGAACGCUGGCGGAAUGCUUUACACAUGCAAGUCGAACGGCAGCACGGACUUCGGUCUGGUGGCGAGUGGCGAACGGGUGAGUAAUGUAUCGGAACGUGCCCAGUCGUGGGGGAUAACGUAGUGAAAAUUACGCUAAUACCGCAUACGAUCUAUGGAUGAAAGCGGGGGAUCGCAAGACCUCGCGCGAUUGGAGCGGCCGAUAUCAGAUUAGGUAGUUGGUGGGGUAAAGGCCCAACAAGCCAACGAUCUGUAGCUGGUCUGAGAGGACGACCAGCCACACUGGAACUGAGACACGGUCCAGACCCCUACGGGAGGCAGCAGUGGGGAAUUUUGGACAAUGGGCGAAAGCCUGAUCCAGCCAUUCCGCGUGCAGGAUGAAGGCCCUCGGGUUGUAAACUGCUUUUGUACAGAACGAAAAGGUUUCUACUAAUACUAGGAGCUCAUGACGGUACUGUAAGAAUAAGCACCGGCUAACUACGUGCCAGCCGCCCGCGGUAA